rnacentral:tRNA from 1 species
CAUUAAGAAGCUUUCACGGAUAAGCAAUAGCCUUUUAAGCUAGAGUUCGGUGCCCCAACCACCCUUAGUGA